CUGGCUUCACCAAGCGCGGGCGCGAGAGGCCGGGGUGGGCCGCGCCCCUCCGGGAAAGAGACGCAAGGGGCGUGGCCAAAUGCCAAGCCUCGCCUACCACUGCGGCCGAAGUGGGAGGGGGCCCCGCAGCUGGAGAAUGUCUUUCCCAUAAAUUCCAGAGCGGAUGUCUUUUGUCUGAUGCGUUCCUGCCUGUGACACCAAUGAAAAGUGAAAAGCGGAAUGUGGAUAUAGGCCCACUGUGCAAGGUGCUUUAUUAAUUUUUCUGGAUGUGUCGUAAUCUCUGAGGCAGAGAUGGCACGGUCUCCCAUUUGGCUAUCAAGUAAAGAAGACAUAUUUUGAAGAAAAAAUAGCUGAGCUAAUGAGAAGAAGAGCCCGGAGAUAACAUCCUGGCUGCGGUUAUGGGGGGAUGGUAAAAUGAGGUAUUGAGAAUAUGCCACAAAAUACAUACGAUUGAAUUUUAUCCAUAGCCUAAAUGGAGUCUUUAGUAGAAAAUUUAUUUGAAACCAGAUAUCUAGCUUAUACUGGAUUUUGUUCGUUUUUGUUUGUUUUGUUUUGUUUUGGUCUCCUCUUUGGUUGGAUUGUGAAAUUCAAAGCCUUCUCCAUACACGUGAUCAAAAUACUUGAAAUGUGCAUGAUUCUUUUAAAAAGGGGAAUGUAAACUGGAAAUGGCAAAAAUCAAAACUGUAGGCCUUGUGAUUGCUAAAGCAGCAAUCGAUGACCUGAAGGGCAAUUGCAAGAUCAGCAGAUCCUGUAGAGAUGCAGCCUCAUGAAGGGGGAGGUGGUAUGCCAGGCAGCAACAGAAAGGACAAGUGAUCUGACCAUUGGAAAUCUUCUAGAACAGAAAGUAGACUACAUCUGCCCUUGACACUUUUUAAGGUCAGGUAACGCCCAGAUAGGAAAAAAACUGGCCAUUGCAAUGCUCUGGAAAAAAAGGCACAGAAGAUAUUUCCCAAAAUAAUACGUGGCAAAUAUCUUCCUCUGACACUUACGGCAUCAGUUGAUAAUGCAGCAAUCUGUCCUUUAGAUGACAAAGGGAAAUAGAAACCAAUCUGAUAACCAAGCCAGUUAUCUACCCAUUCUGAUAAAUGCAUAAACUUUAAAAAUGUAUGCUAUUAGAUGCUGGAUAAGAAAAUGAAUGAGGCUGGUCCUUAGCCUGACAGCGAUUGCUAGGCUCUUAAGGAAAGGAAAGGAAACCUGUUUUCAUGGUAACUAGAAGUAGAGAAAAGAAGCUAAAAAUAAAGGUACGGAUGUCUUGGUGGUCCUUUCAUACUCUUAAGAUUUCUUCCGUAAGAGACCUUUGUGCUAGGUCCAAUUCCUGAAACUGUUUUUCUUUCCUGCUCCCUCUUGCUGUACCAGUAAACUUCCCUGAGACUGA